GGCGUGCCGGAGUGGUUAUCGG
rnacentral:siRNA from 1 species